rnacentral:rRNA from 1 species
AUUGAACGCUGGCGGCAUGCCUUACACAUGCAAGUCGAACGGUAACAGGGAGCUUGCUCCGCUGACGAGUGGCGAACGGGUCAGUAAUGUAUCGGAACGUACCUUUUAGUGGGGGAUAACGUAGCGAAAGUUACGCUAAUACCGCAUAUUCUCUGAGGAGGAAAGCAGGGGACCUUCGGGCCUUGCGCUAAUAGAGCGGCUGAUAUCAGAUUAGCUAGUUGGUGAGGGAAAGGCUCACCAAGGCGACGAUCUGUAGCGGGGCUGAGAGGAUGAUCCGCCACACUGGAACUGAGACACGGUCCAGACUCCUACGGGAGGCAGCAGUGGGGAAUUUUGGACAAUGGGGGCAACCCUGAUCCAGCCAUGCCGCGUGAGUGAAGAAGGCCUUCGGGUUGUAAAGCUCUUUCGGCCGGGAAAAAAUCGCAUGGGUUAAUACCCUGUGUGGAUGAUGGUACCGGAAUAAGAAGCACCGGCUAACUACGUGCCAGCAGCCGCCGUAAAAC